rnacentral:rRNA from 1 species
AAAUUGAAGAGUUUGAUCAUGGCUCAGAUUGAACGCUGGCGGCAGGCCUAACACAUGCAAGUCGAACGGUAACAGGAAGCAGCUUGCUGCUUUGCUGACGAGUGGCGGACGGGUGAGUAAUGUCUGGGAAACUGCCUGAUGGAGGGGGAUAACUACUGGAAACGGUGGCUAAUACCGCAUAACGUCGCAAGACCAAAGAGGGGGACCUUCGGGCCUCUUGCCAUCAGAUGUGCCCAGAUGGGAUUAGCUAGUUGGUGAGGUAACGGCUCACCAAGGCGACGAUCCCUAGCUGGUCUGAGAGGAUGACCAGCCACACUGGAACUGAGACACGGUCCAGACUCCUACGGGAGGCAGCAGUGGGGAAUAUUGCACAAUGGGCGCAAGCCUGAUGCAGCCAUGCCGCGUGUAUGAAGAAGGCCUUCGGGUUGUAAAG